AACGAACGCUGGCGGCAUGCCUAACACAUGCAAGUCGAACGAUCCCUUCGGGGAUAGUGGCGCACGGGUGCGUAACGCGUGGGAACCUGCCCUUAGGUUCGGAAUAACUCAGAGAAAUUUGAGCUAAUACCGGAUAAUGUCUUCGGACCAAAGAUUUAUCGCCUUUGGAUGGGCCCGCGUUGGAUUAGCUAGUUGGUGGGGUAAAGGCCUACCAAGGCGACGAUCCAUAGCUGGUCUGAGAGGAUGAUCAGCCACACUGGGACUGAGACGCGGCCCAGACUCCUACGGGAGGCAGCAGUGGGGAAUAUUGGACAAUGGGCGAAAGCCUGAUCCAGCAAUGCCGCGUGAGUGAUGAAGGCCUUAGGGUUGUAAAGCUCUCUUACCCGGGAUGAUAAUGACAGUACCGGGAGAAUAAGCCCCGGCUAACUCCGUA
rnacentral:rRNA from 1 species